GGGAGUGUAGUUUAGUGGUAGAACACUUGCCCAGCAUGUAUAAGGCCCUGGGUUCAAUUCCCAGUACCCCUA
rnacentral:tRNA from 1 species